rnacentral:lncRNA from 1 species
GCUUUCUCUGGCGAUCUCCAGUCGCUUGGUCGCCUGAGUUUUCAUCUGGCGACUUCAUCUUUAACCCGGUGAUCGCCUAUUCUGGUAUGCUGGAGAUCGGAACACGCCAACUUAAUAACUGGCGACUUCACGAGCCCCCCGACUUCCUUCCCUUCUGCCAACCUGGCGCCUUGCCAACACGCCUAUACUGUAGCAGGAUGCCACGUCAUCACUCCCGACUACCAGGGCGGUACACAAGCCCCCCAGUC